rnacentral:lncRNA from 1 species
CAGAAAUGAUUAAAAAAAUAUGCAAAUAUAGUAUGUGAUAGAAAAUAUUUUUAUGAAAUUAUGAAAAAAAGUUGGACUAAAAAAUAAUAAAGGAGAUAUUUAAAAUUAAUUUUGGAAGAAAAAGGAAUUAAAAACAAAAUAAAAUUAAAAUUAAAACAAGUGAAAAAUCAAGAGCUAGUAGAUCUAACUACUAAAGUCUAGUUAGCUGAUCAUGUGGCCAAGAUUUAAAGUCAAAACGCGCUCACC